GAGGAAGCAAAAAUGAUCCUGUGGCUAAACUUGGUGUCCUUUCUAGCAAUAACCAGAGGUGUCCAAUCUGAGGUUCAGUUGGCGGAGUCUGGAGGGGAAGUGAGAAGACCUGGAGAGUCUCUCCGUCUCUCCUGCCAAGCCUCUGGAUUCACCUUCAAUAAUGCCUACAUGCACUGGAUGAGACAGGCUCCAGGAAAAGUACUGGAAUGGGUAGCAUACAUAAACCCCAGUUCUAGUACUGUUUACUACUCAGACAAAGCGAAGGGACGCUUCACUAUCUCCAGGGACAAUGCCAAAAGCCAGCUGUAUCUGCAGAUGAACAGCCUCAAAGCUGAAGACACGGCCGUCUAUUACUGUGCAAGACACACAGUGAGAGGAAGUGAAUCUGAAGCCAGACAAUAA